GACGAACCGUCCAAACGUUAUUCGGAAUCACUGGGCUUACAGAGUUCGUAGGCGGUCCCAAAAGUUAGGUGUGAAAUCCCUCGGCUCAACCGAGAAACUGCGCUUAAAACUGUGGGACUCGAGGGAGAUAGAGGAAAGCGGAACUGAUGGUGGAGCGGUGAAAUGCGUUGAUAUCAUCAGGAACACCGGUGGCGAAGGCGGCUUUCUGGGUCUUACCUGACGCUGAGGAACGAAAGCUAGGGGAGCGAACGGG
rnacentral:rRNA from 1 species